AUACUUACCUGGCAAGGGAGACACCGUGAUCACCAAGGCGGUUCACCCAGGGCGAGGCUCAGCCAUUGCACUGCGGCUGUGCUGACCCCUGCGAAUUUCCCAAAUGUGGAAAUCUCGAUUGCAUAAUUUCUGUUAGUGGGGGACUGCGUUCGCGCUCUCCCCUG
ensembl:snRNA U1 U1 spliceosomal RNA